UACGUAGGGUGCGAGCGUUAAUCGGAAUUACUGGGCGUAAAGCGUGCGCAGGCGGUUUUGUAAGCCAGAUGUGAAAGCCCCCGGCUCAACUGGGGAGGGUCAUUCGAUACUGUUCGACUCGAAGGCAGGAGAGGGAAGUGGAAUUCCCGGUGUAGUGGUGAAAUGCGUAGAUAUCGGGAGGAACACCAGUGGCGAAGGCGACUUCCUGGCCUGUUCUUGACGCUGAGGCGCGAAAGCUAGGGGAGCAAACGGGG
rnacentral:rRNA from 1 species